rnacentral:rRNA from 1 species
UACGAAGGGUGCAAACGUUGCUCGGAAUCAUUGGGCGUAAAGCGCACGUAGGCGGCGAUAAAAGUCGGAUGUGAAAGCCCUCGGCUCAACCAAGGAAGUGCAUCCGAAACUGAAUCGCUUGAGUACCAAAGAGGAUCGCGGAAUUCCCGGUGUAGAGGUGAAAUUCGUAGAUAUCGGGAGGAACACCAGUGGCGAAGGCGGCGAUCUGGGUGGAUACUGACGCUGAGGUGCGAAAGCGUGGGGAGCAAACAGG